rnacentral:rRNA from 1 species
GAUGAACGCUGGCGGCGUGCCUAAUACAUGCAAGUCGAGCGAACAGACGAGGAGCUUGCUCCUCUGACGUUAGCGGCGGACGGGUGAGUAACACGUGGAUAACCUACCUAUAAGACUGGGAUAACUUCGGGAAACCGGAGCUAAUACCGGAUAAUAUAUUGAACCGCAUGGUUCAAUAGUGAAAGACGGUUUUGCUGUCACUUAUAGAUGGAUCCGCGCCGCAUUAGCUAGUUGGUAAGGUAACGGCUUACCAAGGCGACGAUGCGUAGCCGACCUGAGAGGGUGAUCGGCCACACUGGAACUGAGACACGGUCCAGACUCCUACGGGAGGCAGCAGUAGGGAAUCUUCGGCAAUGGGCGAAAGCCUGACGGAGCAACGCCGCGUGAGUGAUGAAGGUCUUCGGAUCGUAAAGCUCUGUUAUUAGGGAAGAACAAAUGUGUAAGUAAAUAUGCACGUCUUGACGGUACCUAAUCAGAAAGCCACGGCUAACUACGUG